rnacentral:lncRNA from 1 species
AUUUCAUUUACAUAAAAUAUAAAUUCGAAUGGAAAUUAUUAAGAACAUGCUUAUGAUAAUCCUAUUAUCACAUCUUAUCUUAUGAUUGGACUAAUUAAUGACCUUUAUUCUACCCAAAGUAGAACAGAACAGAUAGCACAAAGGUUUCAAAGCACUCCAACUUGUAACUAAAAUACCCAAACAAACAGGAGCAACCUCCAGCCACAUUGCUCUUAGCACCUGAUUCGAGGAUACUGUUUGUGGAAUCCCAGGGGAGUGUCCAAAGAGAAGAAUGGUGUCUGCGGCAUCUGAGUAAACAUAGCUAUCAGUUACAGUCUGGAUUCAGUGUGCAGACAGUCCCCAGUUCUGUGAAAAUCUUCAGGCAUAGUGGCAUGUGUAAUUUGUAUUACCUUGAGGCGCCCUUUAUGCGUGGAAGGAUGAUGGCUGCGUGUCAUGGGGUGUUUCUAAUUAUGGGAAACUCAAGAGACACACACAAAAAUGAAAGACAUGCGGCAAACAGGUUUAACAUUUUCCCACUGACUAACAACUUUGCCCUCUCUAAUUAAUGUCAAGACUUUAGUCCCAAGAUUCAAGCCGUUUGCCCAAAUGGCCACCGCAUUUUAUGUUUACUUAUGUUAUACUUAUGUUUACUCUUUCGGAUAUUUGCUUGAGUGACAAACGGAACGAACUUGUUGAAGCUCUAAAUGCUGUACAGGCUCGAACAUGUAUGAGAGACGUGUUGGCUCUGUUAUCCGUGUAAAGUGUGGACUUACAUUACAGAGAAUCUAUGUAAAUCCUGUAAAUGAUAUAUGAGAACUGUAAGAAAUUGAGUGGAAUGGAGUACCGCACUUUAAUUAGGAAAGCGCAAUUAGAAAUUCCCCUGAAUAACAAGAAAAGGGUCGAGUUUAGGUUUACGACCAUUUAGAUUUAAAAUUUAAAUGAAGAUUAGAAAAUCUGCUAGUCACAAUGAAUCUUGAAGGCCAAAGCCAGAUGAUGAUUAUUAUGUUGAGGACAGACGGCCUCCUGUCCCUCAGCAGACUGUUGUUAUUCGUCUUUACUUCUUUACGUUACUUCUACCUAAAACCACGAUUGGCUUCUUCUUACAGCUUAAUUCAAGGAGCUCUCCACAUCUACCAGACUCAAUCGGAUGUGAUGUUGGAACAUGUUUUUGUUUAUUUUAUGCCACAGCGCACAGGACAACAGCUGACUUCCUCUCCGCUAAUGCCAGAGACAAAUGAACAAUUCCGUUGUUCGGCAGUAACGAAUAACAACGUUGACAGCUGACGACACAAACGCAGGAAAACUUCUUCCCCUUGUCCCAGGCUAAUAACAAGCUGACAAACUUUGCUAAAAUUUAUCCCCUUCUUGGCCACAGUUUUGGUUAUGUGAAUGGGCAGUGGUAUUCAUAGUACUCUCCCACCUAAAAUAUUCGCCGAAUGCAGCACUCAAAUAAACCCAAGAAUUAACUUGUUGUCGGGCUAUGAACUCUGCCUUGAAGUUAUUUGUGGCACUUCCGAGCUGGGGGUCAGGCCAGGGCAGACAGAUAGAGUAUCUGUUGUGCAUCCUUAGGCCCCAGCACAGUUUCCACUUAAUAUUUUAUUUUUGGCUGCUCACAGAGCACACAGACCGAAAUGCCACUGGCAGAUCAUCUCGGCUAUAAACUCGUAUGUAGCCACGUAAAAAAGAAACUUGUUCUGCCGUGCCCUGCAGCUAUCGUUGUUUUUGCUACUACGAGAACUCGGAGAACUAACGUCAUAAUCAAAGUGCCUGAAGCUUUAACCGCUCGCACAAUAAAAGUAAAUGUCCCGAGGUACAACGAGGAAGAAAAACAAAGACCAUUCAUAAAUGAAACGUAUACUCGGUGGCCGAAUUGUUUGAUACACUUUUAAGACCAGUGAUUCCUAUUAUUUGAGAUUACUGCGAGACUUUAGACUCUCCUUACAGAUGUUAAUUCUAAUAUUUUCUCUGUGUUACAAAAAUCAAUUAAUAGUCGCAAUACCCUCUGAAAGUGCUCCACAAGAACAAGAGCAAUUGUUAAACUGUGGCAGCUUGUGUGCUCAUAAAAAGGUCAUAAACAUUUUUAUGAAUUUUACCGCUUUACCCCCUUUACCAUUAUUGGAAGCACCAAAGAGCAUAGCGGCAGAACAGUAGCAAAAUGAUUUGCGAAUGUGAAAACAAAAGCAAAAGAGAUUAAAAACAUUGCUGUGUCAGACUGAAGAUCAAUUGUUGGAUGCUCGAGAAGGGAGUGAGAGGCUUCGAGAAAGAGAUUCGUUAGACAAAGAGAGCAAUGACGAAAGCAAAGGAAAGAAGAAGGCGCUAGAUGAAGUGACAGCGGAGACAAGUGAACGGUUGCAUAUGCUGCGCUGUGCGGGAGUAAACGUUUAUAUGUACAUAUAUGUUUAUGUAUGUAUGUUUGUGCGUAGAUGACAAUGUGAGAUAAGAGUGGGCGGUGAAAAUGAGGAACAAUGACUCGAAUUUACUUUACUGCUGCACCACUGACCACGAGUAUAAUCUAUAUAUUACUGCGUAACCGAACAAUAUGAUUAAGGCUUAAAGCUGUUCACGUAUCUCUAAUACUAAUUGGAUACAGUUAUAGCGGGCACAUCUUUUAUCCUGAAUAUGUACAAAUCCCAUUUUGUUCGGUUCCCAUUUUUGUUGCCAUUUUGGUGCAUAAUAAAUCAUAUUGUUUGCCAUUUUCGAUUUUUCUUCAUCUAAAAAAGGCAAACAAAAGUUUCCUUUAUGAAAGAGCUAACGGGAAAAAAAAUGUUUACCCAUGGGAUAAACAAUCACACAGACUGAGUGAGCUUCGUCUAAAGCAUAAAGCAACUAUAUAAGGAGGUCUCGUCGGAAAAAAUUAUGGACUAGUGCGAGUGAAGGUGCUCUCGCUGUAAGUGUGAGGGCAACGACAAUGGAGUGUGCUGAUUAAUCAUUUGGAGGCAAUGUGAAAUAACAUAAUAAUAAUAGUAGUCUGUGUUCUGAAAAAAUAAACAUUUACAAAAAAAUUGAAAAAAAAAAAUGUUGUCCGCAACCAACCUUCCGCGUCGACAAGCAAACGUGCACUGAGAAUUGGGUAAAGCAGCGAGUAACUCUGCCACCGACGGGGC